CUCAGCCGUGUGUGAUACACGGUCAUGUACACGGCCGUGUGUCCCCUGGUGUUGAAAUUAAAAUCAAGUCAGUAUGCUCCAUACGGCUUUACACAUGGGCGUCUGACUUGGCCGUGAGGCAUAAGUCAGUAUACCCUACAGGUUUGGCACGGACUAGCACAUAGCCUAGCACAUGGACAUGUAUGGCCAUUUUUAGGGCACACGGGCGUGUGU
rnacentral:lncRNA from 1 species